AUGAAUGGUGUCCUCUCCCAGGUGCGGCUGGUCCAGUCCGGCCCCGGAGUGGCAAGGCCCGGAGAGACCCUCGCACUGACCUGCGCUGUCUCCGGGGUCUCCAUCACUGACAGCACUUACUACUGGCAAUGGAUCCGACAGGCUGUCGGGAAAGGGCUGGAAUGGAUGGGACUCCUACAUCCAAAUAGUGGGGGUACAAGUUACACCCCGUCCCUCAAGGGACGAGUCACCCUCUCAGCAGAUUCCGCCAAGAACCAGGUCUCCCUGCAGCUCCGCUCACUGACAGCUGCAGACACCGGCACCUAUUACUGCGUCCGAUACACCAUGACACAGAGCAAAGCGGGGCUGGCACAAAAAGGGGAAGCAGGGUGUUUAAUAUCUGCAGGCUUGGACAGAGCAGAUUUAUAUUGA